rnacentral:lncRNA from 1 species
AGAACUCUCAGGAAGUUUGAAAAGAAGCAAGCCGUCCGCAUUCAUUCAAUCUCACCUCCGACCACUCAAACUAACCCUAACCCUGCAUUCCAUUGUUUCCAUCAUGGGAAAUCUAAGUGACGCUCUCAAAUUAACAGGAACAUUGCGCAGAAGAUAUGUCCUGGGCAAUGGACUGAGAAAACGGGCAGAGAUUUGGAGGUAUUUGUGCAUGCUUUAUAUUACAGUUGAAAAGUGUAUAACAGCUUUCCAAUGCUGUUACUUGUGGCGAACACCUUUUUGCUUGAGUUGAUGCGUGCCCGCAGGUGGAAUAAUGUCACAUGUCACACACAUUUUCUGUUGUUUUGAUUUAUUUACUCAUUCAUCAUUUUAUGUGCGCACCUCUCCUAAUCAACCCACCCAUUAAAUAGACGGGCACAAUAGCACCAUCUGCUGGCACAAAAAAUACAUAACAAUAAACUGCAAAACCCCAAUCUGGCUCCUACAAAGUGUAUGUGACAAGAUGAUUAACGUUUGCUUUUGUUAUAUCAGGGCUUCCCCAGCCAGGACUUCGGCUCAGACUGUGGCAUAUUCAUGUUGAUGGUAGGUCAUAACGAGCUGUAAUGCACAAAUAUUGUAUCUAGAAUAACUUUCCAACAUGGACUUUUUUAAAGUUAUCUCACAUGUUGUCUCAUAAUUUUUUUUUUUAAGUCUGCCAUGUACAUCGUUAUGGAGUCACAGUUUGACUACUCAGUUGUAAGUACUUUUCAACACGCAGUGUCAUCCUCAAGAUUGUAUUUUGUAUUGUGCACUAAAAUGAAAUACAAACAACAAUUUCAGCAUGACAUGCCUGUUUGGCGGCGAUGGUGGUGCCUGUUGCUCCUGGAGAACAAUUCUUUGAACAGGUAGACAGUUUAAGUAAACUAGAUGUCCUAAUUAACUGGAAGACAAUCAAUAUAUUGUACUUAAAGACAUAUUGUCAUUACAGUUGUGGGAAAAUCUUCGCCCACUGGACCAAAGAAUGUCAAGAGCUCAUUGCUGGAAAGCAUACUCCGGUCUUCAGUCUAAAGAGGAAGGCAGAGCAGCAGGACAUAGAGGUUAGAAAAUUGCCUUGUAAAAACAGUAUUAUCUCAGUGGGAGUCCUUCAAAAUGCACACAGUUGUAUGGAUCAACAUUGUCUCGAUGUAUUUGGUAAUUGAUGUUACUUUUCAAAUUGCCUUGUCAAGGAAACCAUGACGCAGACGGUAUCGGAUGUCCAAAGAAUGUGCAUGGCAGAUUCAAUGCAAUUCUGUGUCUACCAGACAUCGAACAACACAGGAGAGAGGUGUGUUGCAGACUCAAUUUAAUAAAUGCAAUUAUCGGGGCCUAUUCAGUGAUUUUCCAUGAAGUGACCACUUUUACAUAUAGUUUAAAUGCACGAAUCAUGCAGGAAAAUUAUUUAUACAUUCAAAUGUGCUGCAGAGGUAUAAUCAAUUGGACAGCGUGUUUGUUUAAUAUUAUGUUUGUCUCUCAUUUGAUCAGAUUGCUUUACCCUGAGGUAAACGUCAUAAAAUGGGUCCAGUGCAAGACGUGCAGGGGCUGGCUGCAUCAGGAUUGUGCUGGGAUUGAAAUGGAGCCGUUUGACUGCGGGUGCGAGGACUCCAUUGAGCAUCCUCGGUAUAACAUAAUUUAUCAAGGAAACAUAGUAUCAGUCAAAAAUACGAGGCUCAAAGGAUGAAAAAAUGAGGGCUUGCUCUUUUCUUAUUUCUCUGCAGGAUCAAGGAUGCUGUUGACAGUUGAGGAAUUCAUGCUGUCUUUUCUAAGACACAGAUCAAGGUUGCUUUUGAAUGCACUAUCAGUUGUUAAAGCCACCGUUUCUUUUUCAGAUGAUUACAUUUUUGUCUCUUGCUCUUUGGUUUCAGACAUUACAUGAUGAUCUCCUGUCUGGAAAGAUCCGCUCCAACAGAAUGUUCCUUUGGUGGAAUCCCGCCACCUCACUCCGACUAAAGCAGCAUCUCAAGAUAAGGACACUAAGUUGGAGUGAGCAGCGCGUAAGUAAAAAUGCCAUCCAUCAUGAGUAUUUUUACUCUCAGGGGUGUUACAUUUGAAAGGUGUUUACUUUCUGUGAUUCAUCUGCUUGAUUUCGUUUUUGACGUCAUGCUCCCAGAGGUGAGUAGAUCAAACUAUAUAGCUUGCUUUGAAAAUUGAUGAUAUUGUUAAGAGGUUGUUCUUAUUCAUUUGGAAAGCUCAAGAACAACAAUUAACCCAUACUGCAUAACUUCAAUUGUUCACAUUAUUUGACUGUUUUUCAGCAUUUGAUCAAAGCACUGAAGGAGCAUGGCAUCACCCGGUCAGAGCAGAGCAGAGCUGAUGAUGGCCUGUGGCAACGUGUUUUAAGCCCCCCACCACACCGACGGCAGUGCUGAAUUUUGUAUAUAUAUAUAUAUUCUUUUACUGUUCACAAUUUUGUUUGGAAAAAAUUAAAGAAAUCUUCAAAGCA